UGGCCAUGCUGCGAACAUUUUCUCAACUUGUCCUUGUACCUCUCCCGAGUGUCAUACAAGGUUUCUGAUUCUAACUGCCUAUAUGAGGAAAUGUCAUUUAUGAGCUU